UGUCACUUCUACAUUUGCUUAUAAAUGCUCUCUUUUGAAAAAAAAUCUUACCGAAUGCAUUGUCAUUUUGAAAAGAAAUACAAGCUCGACAACAACCAAAACCAAAAACCGUUUGGAUUCUCUAUCUAAAGAAUUAUGUCUUUGAGCCCACCCAGAACAAGAACCAAUGGCACCACAGGAAACUUCCAGCCUUACUGGUGCUACCAGUGCCAUCAAAUGGUCAGGAUUGCCACCACGGACCCAUCAGAAAUCAUCUGCCCUCGUUGUUCAGGGCAGUUCCUUUGUGAGAUUGGAAUUAAUAGACCAAUACUGGUUGUUGAUUUCACUGCUUUUGAUCCUUCACCAGAAGCUCGCUUACUUGAAGCACUAUCUCUCAUGCUUGACCCACCAAUCAGAAGAUUCAAUUAUAGUCUCGAUGAACCUCAACCUCAACCUCAACCUCCCCGUCGGUCCUGGUUUCGUAGACGGAAUCGACCUGACUUUUUUGAUACUGAAAUUCGUCCUCGAAGGCGUAGAAAUCUGUCGCUAGAGCUUGAUGGGAGAGAUAAUUGGGAUUCAUUGGACCCUGAAAUCCGCCCACGGAGGUCUCGGGAUUCGAGUCUUGAUGGGAGAGGUAUCUUGGAACACGAACCUGGGAUCCAAUCCAGGCCAAGAACAUGGAUCCAAUACAGGCCAAGGAAUCCUUUUGGUGAACCAAUUGAACCCCUUCUGCAAUCUGAAAACCCAGUUCCUCCCCUGGUUGAUCCCAGGGACUUUUUUUUGGGGUCAGGCCUAAACGAGUUGAUUGAGCAAUUGACACAAAAUGACCGCCAAGGGCCACCACCAGCUCCAGAAAUCGCCAUUGAUACCAUACCAACUGUAAAAAUCGAGGCAAGUCAUUUGGUGAAUGACUCUCAUUGUCCGGUUUGCAUGGAAGAGUUUAAAGUUGGAGGGGAGGCAAGGGAGUUGCCUUGUAAGCACAUAUACCACAGUGAAUGUAUCGUGCCAUGGUUAAGGUUACACAACUCCUGUCCAGUUUGUCGAAAGGAGUUGCCGGUUAAUAGUGAAAGUAGUGCUCAAGAUGAAGAUGAGUGUGAGGAUGGAGGGGGUAGGAGGGGAAGGCCGGUUAAUAGUGAAAGUAGUGCUCAAGAUGAAGAUGAGUGUGAGGAUGGAGGGGGUAGGAGGGGAAGGUGCUCGAGGUGGAGGAGGCAGUUGUCAUCUUUAUGGCCAUUUCGCGCUAGGUAUGGGAGGAUUAGUCCUCACGGAGAGGUUGCCGGUACCUCUCAAGGAGCAGUUGAUUCACGAUGGUGUUCUUGCAAUAUUCUUUAGCAAUAAAACGUUGAUGGUCUUGCUAAAGCUAUUUAUAUCGACUUUGUUAUAUGUUUGUUAGGAAUGUAAUUGUAUGGACCAAUUAAGGAAGGACACUCGAGAAGAAAUUGUGCAGGACAGCUGAUAGAUUACAGGGCAAAGCUAAUUCUGCGGAUAAUAUAUCGUUUUAUGCGACUACUGAUGUACUUCAAUGAGACAUGGCCUAAAAGCUUCGCAGUUGUCUCUGGUUUGGUUGACGAAAUAUAUUAUUUCAAGAGCAAAAUGAAAAGAAAUUGAAGAAUAAAAUAUUUGGCAUGCACUUUGUUGUAUAGGCGUGAUGUUUUAUUUAUUUGCAAAGAACAUAAGGGAACCACCAAAGCUAAUUACUUAUUUAUUUAUUUAUUUUCUUCGCUAAAGAA